CUAAGUUUUGGAGUCUUGAAUUCUUGCAAAAGGUAUCCUUCCCGAACCCCAGGGGUACACAUUUGCACCUCAUAACUUCUUGGCACUCAACAUUUUUGGCUCUCCUGAAAGCUACUCCUGUGCCCCGGAUCAUCCAUGAGGACAUGGCUUCUCAGGCAAGGGCCCGCUGAGAAAUCCAGGCGGAGAUGGGGAAAAGGAAACCCAGAAUCUAUCAGUUCACUCAUCAGACCUCUGCUUCCUCCUCUGCUUCAGGGAGGAAGAGGGUUGAUUCCGAACAGAGAGACAACUGGUAAACAAGGAGAGAUAAGAAGAUCUGAUAAAUCUCCUUUCCCUGUCUGCUAGUCAAAAGGAAGUAAUGCUUAAAUCUAUCUAUUAGAGGUAUUUAUUGGUAUUCUAUUUCAAAAUUGUGAUCAUGUAUAUAUGUGGGUUUAGAAAAUAACAUCCUAAUUUUAAUUUUGUCAGACAGUGAAAUUUCAGUUUAUAUAGAAAAGCCAUGGAUCAGUUUUGUAAAAGAGUUUUUUUUUUUUAGUAGCAUAGCCUCAAGAAGACUGUAUUCCAUCCUUUCCACCAUAAGAGGUUUAAAGGAAAAAAAUGGGUUUAAGUGUUUAAACUUACCAAAAAUGGGUUUUUGUUUAAAAUUAUCAAAUGGUUUUCAUCUCAAUGGUUUUCACCCAGUGUAUUAAAGUUGGACUAACUUUAUUAUUACAUUUAACUUCUUGGUCUCGAAAAUAGAUAAUCAGUCUGCUUGUCAAAAGGCUUGAGGUUUAUGGUCCUUAAAAGGUUUCAAAUCUCUAAAUUUAAAAUAGAUCCUUUAAUACUAAAUGCUUUAUGAAAAAAAAUUUUUGAAAUGUUAUGAGUUGCUGCUAAAGUAUGUAUUUCAAGUAUUGUUUGGAUAUAAACAAAAGCUCCUUAUAAACUGGACUGUACCAUAGAUUUUGUUCAAUACUCAGUGCAAUUGAAGUAAUACCAAGGGAAUGGUUGUUUGACUUAUGAUGGUAAAAGCAAGUCAGGGAAAGUGGAAAAGGUAUAUUGGGUUUGAAUUCAGAAGAAAGAGGGACUUUGAUCUAAAUUCCAUAAAGCUUGAGUAUGCAGGUUUGUGAGGGAAGAAUGGAAGUUAUGUUCUGCUUUUUAAGCAGAGGGUUUUGAAGGAAAAAAGAGAGAGAUACAGACAGACAGAUACACACACACAGAAGGUGAAGAGAACAGAUAGAUGUUCUGUUCUCAUAAUUGAAUCUUUAAUUUAGGGAUAAUUUCUAGAAUUGAUGUAUGUGGAAAAUCACAAAUAAUUCUGGAAGUUCUCUGAACAUUCUUUAGAGAGAUUCCUGACUGAUCUUGUCUUAGU
rnacentral:lncRNA from 1 species